UUAUCUAGACGGUCACUAUGAUCAGGCAAAAUAAACUGUCUGACAGAUGACAAACUUGUUUUCAUUUGUUGGCGGAACUUUAUGAAUUCGAGUGGAAGUUGAGACAUUGUUGCCUCCGAGCUCACGGGAACAGAACCACUAUUAGACAGAGUGCCAAUUUUAGAGCGGGUUGGCAGAGAUUAGCCAAGACGGACGGUUUGCAAAUGCCGGUGGGGAGCAAACAGAACAUGCAUCAAAACACAGAUUUGAAAAUAAACUUCCCCCCAAAUUGAUCCCGAAUACCACAUCUAAAGGCAUCAAAUCAAAUUACAAUAAUCGCUACUCUGAACUACCCAAACAGUCGUUGAUUAGAGAUAACCAACCUGCGCACGUGUGCCCUUCCCCAAAAACAAAAACCUUGGGACCAUCUCCAGAUUAGUCAAAAUGAUACGCAGAAAUUGAUCGAAGGGAUCGGGAUCGAGAUGACCCUGGUUGGGAGUUAUGUUUCAAUAUUUUGUAUGAUCAAUAGAAAUAAAAUUUCAAAAACGUUUUUUUAUAGAUUUUUUUUGGCAAAAGCACUUGAAAUGUUUAAUCUAGUUGGAACAGCAGAACCUUUUUUACGUGGAGGCGUUACGCUUUGAACUU